rnacentral:rRNA from 1 species
UACGUAGGAGGCAAGCGUUGUCCGGAUUUACUGGGCGUAAAGGGCGUGCAGGCGGUUUGUUAAGUCUGGGGUGAAAGCUCCCGGCUCAACUGGGAGAGGUCCUUGGAUACUGGCAGGCUUGAGGAGGGUAGAGGAGAGUGGAAUUCCCGGUGUAGUGGUGAUAUGCGUAGAUAUCGGGAGGAACACCAGUGGCGAAGGCGGCUCUCUGGGCCCUACCUGACGCUGAGACGCGAAAGCGUGGGGAGCGAACCGG